GUUGGAGGGCAGUCUGUGUUAGUUCUUCCUAACUCUGAGUGUGUGCACGUUGUGGAGCGGGUGGAGUCUUCCAUCCUCAAAUCUGAAAAGAUUGAGAGAUUUCGGAAGGCCCAGAUGUGCCAAAGGUCAGAAGGAUCAAUACACAGACCCUACCACGGAAAGGUGGUGGGGAGAGAGGCGGAUGGAAAACCGCUGCAAAAGGGAAGCCAAUGAAAGGUCACCUCCUUUCUCAGAUCAGAGCCCCAUCAGAAAUUCUUUCAAGUGUCCUUCUGCGUCGCCAAAGAUGACAACAGCAAAUCAAUAAGUGCUUGAAAUGAAAGGGGUUGUUGGCGAGCCCCCAGGCUACAGAUUUCCCGCCGCCAGCCUUUUCUGAACUCCUAGCGUGCCUUUGCACCGCCUCUCUUAAGAAGAGCUACCUUUUAUUCUUAUUCUCAGGACGAAGGAGCCAUUAGCAUUUCCCACCAGCUGCUCACUUCAGCUGCACUGGCGCUGGGCGAGGCGAAGACCCAAAAGCUCAG